GAGUUCCCUGGAACGGGACGCCAUAGAGGGUGAGAGCCCCGUAUGGUUGGAUACCGAGCCUACGUAAAGCUCCUUCGACGAGUCGAGUAGUUUGGGAAUGCUGCUCUAAAUGGGAGGUAUAUGUCUUCUAAAGCUAAAUAUUGGCCAGAGACCGAUAGCGCACAAGUAGAGUGAUCGAAAGAUGAAAAGCACUUUGAAAAGAGGGUUAAAUAGUACGUGAAAUUGUUGAAAGGGAAGCACUUAUGACCAGACUUGGCCCCGGUGAAUCAUCCAGCGGUUCCCGCUGGUGCACUUUGCCGGGGUUCAGGCCAGCAUCAGUUCGCUCCGGGGGAUAAAGGCUUUGGGAAUGUGGCUCCCUCGGGAGUGUUAUAGCCCAUUGCGUAAUACCCUGUGGCGGGCUGAGGUUCGCGCUUUAUGCAAGGAUGCUGGCAUAAUGGUCAUCAGUGACCCGUCUUGAAACACGGACCAAGGAGUCGUCUUCGUAUGCGAGUGUUCGGGUGUUAAACCCCUACGCGUAAUGAAAGUGAACGCAGGUGAGAGCCCUUCAGGGCGCAUCAUCGACCGAUCCUGAUGUUCUCGGAUGGAUUUGAGUAAGAGCAUACGGGGCCGGACCCGAAAGAAGGUGAACUAUGCCUGUAUAGGGUGAAGCCAGAGGAAACUCUGGUGGAGGCUCGCAGCGGUUCUGACGUGCAAAUCGAUCGUCAAAUAUGGGCAUGGGGGCGAAAGACUAAUCGAACCUUCUAGUAGCUGGUUUCCGCCGAAGUUUCCCUCAGGAUAGCAGUGUUGAUUUCUCAGUUUUAUGAGGUAAAGCGAAUGAUUAGGGACCCGGGGGCGGCUUAUAGCCUUCAUCCAUUCUCAAACUUUAAAUAUGUAAGAAGCCCUUGUUGCUUAGGUGAACGUGGGCAUUCGAA
rnacentral:rRNA from 1 species